rnacentral:rRNA from 1 species
AUGCACGCCGGCGGGCGCAUCUAUUGGAGGAGCGUUACAGGAGAUCAGCUCACCUCGCUCGACGUCGGCGCCAUGGAGUUCUCCCACGUUGAGCUCCCGGGUAACCUGCACAAUCAGCCACGGUCGUACCCGUACGCCGUAGGGGAAACGGAGGACGGCACAACCUGCCUUGUGGCCAUGAGUCGCAAACUCGUCCUGCAGGUAUGGUUCCGCAUGGAGGAGGACAAGUCCUGGGAGCUACAGAGGCAGGUGAAUGCUUCCAGAUGGUAUCUGCCUCGAGGCCGAUUGCAGAAGGUCUGCGAUGUGACGGCCGGCGUCGUGCUCCUCUCCAUGGGCACGGAGAAUGGCGGCCUCCACCAUUAUGCCUUUCGCCUCAAGAACGUCCUCGAGGAAGGCACCACCACCACCAGGCCCGAGUUGGAGGCAGACUUCUUCAUAUUCGAUGCACGGGUGCAUCCCUACUUCAUGGCAUGGCCACGACCCAGCCUAAAGGCUGCUGGUAGCUCUAACACGAAGAAAACAAGUCUGAAAGAUCAAGAAGCUGGUGGCUCUAAGAAGAAUAAGAAAACAAGCGUGAAAGAUCAAGAAGCUUGCAGCUCCAAGAAGAAUUAG